rnacentral:lncRNA from 1 species
GAACAUGCUGAUUAGUUAGACAACUGAAUUACUAAUCUUUAUUAUUAUUGCAACAAACACACGGAUUACACUAAAAGCUAGUGAAUCAUACACUUGCAGAUGACUUAUCCAAACACAAAGAUAAGACAUGAUUUUAUUAUUAUUGCUAUAAACACACGGAUUACAGCGAAAUUCAAAAACUAAAAACAAGGAAAAAAGUAGUGAUGAAAACCAAUGCCACUUCCGGGAACACGAUUGCAUUCGCACAUGCAACAAGCCUUUUAAACCCAUAGGUGACCCAAAUGGGACGAGUGAAGUCUCGUGAGGGUUUCCAGAGACGUUACCCACAAACAUCAUGCAUACGGAUCAUCAACAUCUGACUUGGGAGACUGAGUAGAUAUCCACCCCUCCAGCAUCAGGUUGUUUUGGUUGAGGCGUAAUUCGAAUCUGUUUUCAAUGAACGGCCUGGUUAUGAGAUCGCUUUGCAAGUGACGUAAUCGGCAGCGCGUGAUUAGGUUGUUGCUGUCAGGUGGUCCGACAGGCUCGACCUUGAACAAUGUGCAAGCCCAAUUGUCUUUGGUUUCAUUUCGGUCAGCAGCUGCGGCCAGGACCAAUAGCCUGUUUUGGUCCACCCUUCUCAAGUAGUUGCCAUUGUAGGAGCAUUUGAUAUGCACGUAAUUCUUGUCGGCGUAGUCCUCAUUGUUUGGCUUCUCGGUGGUGAACUUUAUGAACCUGCUGUUUUCAUUGUCCUCGGAAAACUGGACAAUCUCAUUAAGGUCGCUUUCUGCAUCAAGUUGAUAGCGCAAAUACUUGUUGUUGAUAUCUGCUUUCAGCAGAAAAGGGCUUGGUAGUACAGGUGGUGGAGCCAUAUCGUAUAGUGUAGUUGGGAUUGGGAUGCUCUCUCUUUUUUAUUCUCUGUUGAUGAUCUAAUUUGCUUGCUGUGAAUGUGAUGCUUAGUUUAAACCUGCUAUCCUAUUUAUAAGAAAUUAAGCACAAGCUAGCUCAAGUUAUGGUCUUUAAUUAAUAUUAAUUUCGACAAAUCAGUUUCCCAUCUCUUUCAUUGAUAUGAACAUGGCUGAUCUCAUUGAUGUGGCGCAAUAUUUGUUAAAUUAGCCGUUCGGGUUGAUUUCUUUGUACAACUCAUCUGCCAAUUCUACAACUUGUAGACCUAAUUCCCAGUACAAAAUUAAAAAAAAAUUAAAAUCCAAAACUAAUAUAAGAUAAAUAAAGACUUUUUAUAUCAUAAAAUAAGACUUUCUAACUUGUAUACAAGACAAUAGUGACAAGAUCAAACACAUUGAUGGGUGCGCAUUUUCCAUCAACAUCUGUUCUGUGUGUUUAAACUGACCGUGGAGUCUUUUUAGCAAUUAAAAGUUUUGUAUCAUGUAAUUGUCUUGGUUUGAUAAGACCUACAUCUAGAUGAGAUGCUUCUGAAGACUAAUGUAAAACUUUAUGUUGAUAUUUCUUGAGGGUGAAACAUCGUUUGAGAAACGUGUUGGGCCUCAUUACAAUUUUUUCAUUUAGUUUUUAACUUUUGGUUUAAAUAUUCUACUAUGAAUAAAUUUGUGGCUUUAAUAACUAGUAAAACCACUUUCAAAUAUCUUAGUAUCGGCUUUCAGAACAAAGGGGUUUGGUAGUACAGGUGGAGCCAUAUUGUAUAGUGUAGCUGGGAUUGGGAUGAUCUCUCUCUCUUUUUUGUUUUUUUUUUCCCUUUAAUUUGCUUGCUUUGAAUGUGAUGCUCAGUUCAAACCUACUAUCCUAUUUCUAAGAAAUUAAGCACAAGCUAUCUCAAGUUAUGGACUUUAAUUAAUAUUAAUUUCCUCAAUCAGUUUCCCAUAUCUUUCAUUGAUACGAACAUGGCUGAUCUCAUUGGUGUGACGCAAGAUUUGUUAAAAUAGCGAUCGGAUUGAUUUUUCUUUGUAUAACUCUUCUGCCAAUUCUGAACUUGUACAUAUAAUUCCCAUUAUAAAAUAAAUAAAUAAAAUUCAAAACUCAUAUAAAAUAAAUAGAGACUUUUUAUAGCAUAUAAAAUAAGACUUUGUAACUUGUACAUAGUUAUUGAUAACAUUCAUCUAAGAACUAACAGAUGAAUGUAUGCAAGCAAUAUUGAAGAAAUACAGAGAGAAAGAUCGAAAGGAAUAGAGAGAGAAAUAGAGAAAGAAAUGAGUGAAAGCUUUGUUAUUUCAUAAGAACAAAAGAUCAUCACAAAAGAACCCUGAUUCCUUCUUAUAUAGUCUGCCCAUGUAGCUUAUCAGCUAAGCCACCUGUGUAACUAAUUCUUAACAAACUAACUAACUCCAAUAGCUGAUAUGGCACUUAUGAUGAUGUGUCAAUCACUAUAUAUCUUCAACAUCCCCCCGCAAUCUCAACUGGGAUUUUCUAGCUUGAGAUUGUAAAAAUGUUAGACAAAUGAAGGACUGUGAAGACCUUUGGUAAGAACAUCGGCAGUUUGCUCCUCAGUUGGGAUAUACAACACCUCCAAAUCGCCUUCAUGCACCCGUUCUCGUACAAAAUGGUAGUAUGUAUUAAGGUGUUUAAUUCUUGAAUGAAACACCAUAUUAGCACUGAUCGGAUCAUAUUUAUAUAUAUUUUUACUUCGAAUUCACUCGUCUUUUCUUAGUUAGUUCCUUAUAUUUUUGAGCUAUUUACGUUAUUUUUGUGUUUAUAGGAUUUGUUAUGCAAAGAAAAUAAAAAUAGAACAAAUGAAAUUUUAUGUAAUAAAUUCGUCAAAACUGUCUGUGUAGAUCAUCUUUUAAAUAAAAUUAAUAAAAAUAAUAAUAAUGGUAAGUCAUGAUGAUGUUUGAAACAUCAUCAUGAUUCAUGUUUUGUAGAAGAAGAAAGGAACGGCAAAGAAGGAGAAAAUAAAGAAUAAAAGGAGGGAGAGCGUCGGUGGAAAAGAAAAAGGAAUAAAAAGCUGCCUUUACCAACAGAGAGAGUGGGGAGGGCAGAAAGAAAAACACGGCAUAAAGAAUAAGAAUAAGAGGAAGUGAACAGCAGUGCGAAGAAGAAAGGAAGAAUAAGAAAAUAAAGAUAAGAGGCAGAGCGGAAGAGAGAGGAGGGGGGAGAUAAGUCAGAGGGACGCGGAACGAAGAGAGGAAAGCAGCAAAGCUGCCAGCGGAAAGAAAAGGUUGCCCUUGCAGCCUUGAAAAAAAAAGCAAAAAAUAAAGGAGAGGUCAGGAGGGGAGAGAGGUUAGAGUGCGAAAACAGAGAGAGAGAAGGCGGGAGCAGCGCAGCAGAGCACAGCAGCAGGUGCAGGGAAGUCAGGAGCUAGGCAGAUCUUCUUUUCUUGGUUUUAUCUUCUCAAACCCAUGUUUUACUUUUGGUUUAAUUUGAUAAUAAUGUGUAACUAAAUUUAUUUUGGCUAGAGGUUAAUUCAAAGCCAUGAAUAUAUUUGUAAUAUGAAUUGAUUACCUUCAGUUGUGAUUUCUGAGUUGUGAUUUAAUUUGCUUAACUGCUUGAUUGAUAACUUAUUUUUGUAUGUCGAUUAAGAAUGCAUACUUAAUUUACAUGCAUGAAUUUGAUGCUAGAAUAUAAGUGAAUUUCACCUAAUCGUUAUGAACUUAUAUUCACAAGUAGUGAAGGUUGUUAUCCACAAUCGUGUUAAGUGAAUUCUAGGCUGGAUUAACAUGCGUAUUCCAUAGUUAUGAAUGCCUAGUCAAUGUUUAUGAUUUCCGUUGAACUUAAUGAUCUUUGUUGAAUGUCUCUAUCAUGCGUAUUCCAUAGUUAGGGACUUUGAUGAGGAAUAAUUUGGUUGUAAUGCGUAUUCCAUUCAAUCCAAUGAAUCUAGGGAAAUCUAAGAGUUAAUUUAAGCGGACCUAAUUAACUUGGAACAUUGUCAUUCACAAUUUAUUGAAAGAACAACUGAAAAUCAAUUUAGGUUGCAUAUGUGUCAUGUGUGGAGAAGAACCCUCUAGCUAGUCCGUCACCUAUCCUUUCACCUUAAUUUCAUGCUUUUGUCAACUCUGUAAUUUAUUUAAGUUUAAUUUACUUCUCGUCAAAACCAAACCCCCCCAUUAUUAAAUUAUAUUAUUUAGUUAAUUUUCAUUGUUGUUAGUCAUUUAAUUCAAUUUCCGUCCAUUUCAGUUUCUAGUGUCUAAUUUGAUUGUUUUCAUUAUUUUGAGUCAUUCUAAGUGUGUUUCGAGUUAUUAGAGUUUUUAGCCUAGUUUUGUGUCCUUGAGUCUUGUUUAAUAUUUUUAAAUUAAUUUAGAAUAGAUUAGCAAUCCCUCCUAAUCCCCGGCCUAGAACGAUACCCUACUUACAUCUAUAAUACAAUUGUCAAAAAGAGGGUUUAAUUGGUGUGUCAAGUAAUUUUCACAUCAAGCACUUAAGGCAAUAGCAGACAUAUUGUCACAGUGAAUCGUUGGUGGAGCAUCCAAAAAUACACUCAAAUCCUUCAAUAUAUUUCGAAUCCAAGCUAUAUCUACGGCAGUAUGUGCUAAGGCUUUAUAUUCAGCCUCAGUAGAACUCCUGGAUAUCGAGUUUUGUUUCUUCGAUUGCCAAGAAAUUGGAUUACUACCCAAGUACACGACAUAACCAGUGAUAGACCGACGAGUAUUCAAGUCUGUAGCCCAAUAAGAAUCAGAAAAUGCAGUAAGCUUUGAAACUGUGUUUGCAGAAAAAGCAAUACCAAUGUUCAUGGUUUCUUGAAGAUAACGAAUGAUUCAUUUAACAACGCCAAAAUGAACAUCAGUUGGUGAGGACAUCAACUGACAUACUGUGUUUACAGCAAAGGCAAUAUCAGGCCUAGUAAAGGUCAUAUAUUGUAAAGAUCCCACAAUACUUAUGUAAGGUUGGAUCUGUCAAUAAUUGUCCCUCAGAGUGUAACAUUUGAUGAUGAGGUUUACAAGGAGUGGUUGCUGGUUUACAUGAUUCCAUACCUGCUUUAUGGACGAGAUCUUUGAUAUACUUAGACUGAUUAACAAAAACACUGCCAUUUGCUUUAUAUUGAACUUGUAAACCCAAAAAAUAUGUAAGUUGUCCCAUAUCCUUUAACUCGAAUACCUCAGAUAAUUAUUGAAUCACUUUUUGGAUCUUCAAAGGAUUAGAACCAGUUAAGAUGAUAUCAUGAACAUAAAGUAAUAAGAUAAUGAUAUCAGAGUCAUCCUUCUUGACAAACAAACUUGUAUCAGAAGUUGAUGCAUGAAACUCCAUAACUGUCAAAUAACUUGUAAACUUUGAAUUCCACACUCGUGGAGCCUGUUUCAAGCCAUAUGAUGUAUCAAUAAAUCCUUGUGGUUGCUGCAUAUAAACUUCUUUUUGUAAAUCUCCGUGUAGAAAAGCGUUCUUGAUAUCUAAUUGGCGAAGAGGCCAAUGAUUCAUUGCAGCUAAAGAAAGAAUAAUCCUUAUAGUAGUAUGUCCGACAACAGGACUAAAUGUGUCCAAGUAGUCAAUACCAUGUUCUUGGGAGAACCCUUGAGCUACAAGCCUUGCUUUAUACCUGGAGACACUGCCAUCAAAGUUUUUCUUCACUUUGUAUUCCCAUUUGUUUCCUACAAUUGUUCUGUCUUCAGGUGCAGGAACCAAUAGCCAAGUUCCUUGUGCUCGAAGUGAAUCAUAUUUCUCCUGCAUUGCCUUUUGCCACUGUGAAAUAGUAGGAGCUUUCCGAAAUGUCUUAGGUUCUGAAGCAUCAGUGAUCUCAGAAAGAAAGGAAUAGCCACCCGUGAAAGGUUCUUCAUCAGUGAUUUGGAGACAACAAAGCUCAGGACAUUGUGCUACUAAAGCAGCAUAAUUUUGUCCCUCAAUUGUUCCACUCUUCAAUCUAGGGACCAUUGAGUGAGUCAAUGGUGUAGUAUGUAAAAUGAGAUCAAAUAGAGAUAAAUCAGGAAGGAUUACCUCAAGUUGUGACUCAGAGUGGACAAGCAACAAGGAUUGUGUACCAGAGUGAUGAUGUGUAAGAGAGUGAUGAUGUGAAGAGCUUGGAGAUGCAUAUAGAAGAUUGGUUUCAGUCGAAUUUGUAUCUUGAUCACUAGGUUGAAUCACCUGUGUAUUGUCCGAACUAGAAAUAUUCAAUUAACCAACCACAUUUAUACUUUCACAAUUUGCAGGAAUACUGUGAUGUGAACCAGUAUCAUUUGCUGAUAUAUGUAUAGAACUAGCUGCUUGUGAAUCAUGCUGUAUUUAUGUAUGAGGCAGGACUCUUGCACUUGGAACUUGUAACUGAAUCAAAACAGGUGUCUGAGAACACCUAUAUGUAGCUGUAGAAUCCUUAGAUGGCAAAACUUGUUUAAACGGAUAUACAUCUUCAUCAUGUAGUACAUGCCCUGACAGAAUGAACUUUCUAGUCUUGAUAUCAUAACAAAUAACUCCUUUAUAUCCAUGAGCAAAACCAAGAAAUACACAUUGAGCUGACUGUAGCUCCAAUUUAUUCUUAUUGAAUGAUCUUAUCAAGAUAGAGCAGCCAUAAGAAACUCUUAACUUUGGAGGAAUAUGAAGUUUCCAAAUAAGAUUCCAUCGCCGGAAAAGCACAAGGCCUAAUGGCCCAAAAAUAAGCAGAUUUAACUGAAAAAUUACCAUCAUUUAUUCCACUUCAGAUACACUUGGCAGUCAAAGCAUCAAAACUAAUUGGAAUGCUAAGAAUUUGUUCAACCACCUCUUUAGUAAAACAAGUAAUAGUGGAUCCAAACCAUUAUUGUAACAAUAGUUAGCUACAGUAGCCUUAUAUGUAUUGUCGGCGUUACCACACAAUCCCGAUAUACGUCCAGGAUCGACAUGUGAUCUCAUCAAAUACUCAUAUCUCUAACUUACCCCACCUCCGGAAUAUGGCAAAGUGAUGAGUCAAUAUUUACCAUAUAUUUUACCCUAAUCUUAGUAUUAAUUUAUUAGUUAUUUUGGUAGAAUUUUGAUACUUUGUUAUAUAUUUCUAAUAUAGGACAUUCGACUUCAUCUGGAGAAAAAAGUAACCAAACGGAUGAUUUUUGGAGUGAUUCCAAUUGGAGGAUGUUUGUGAGUCUUCGAGAUGAUUAUAUCAAAAUUCCAAAUUUUUCUACCAAGUCGUUUGACCGUGGCAAUGAAAUUAAGGCCCUGCGCGCAGCUUUCUCAGAUUGACAUUUCGGGACAUUUUGCGUAUUUUGAAAGUCAAGAUGUAAUAUUUUGAGGAAGAUUUCUUCUGAGGAUUUGUAUGGGACGUCUCCAUCUUUCAAAAGAGACAUUUUGGGACCAAAUCGGAGUUGAUUUGGUUGGUCAGAAGUCUGAUUUUCUGAGAUCUCCGAAUUCUAGUUCAAAUAGGAAACCUUUUAUUUUCUGUUUUAUUAUUUUAUUAUGUUUCAUAGUUUUAUUGUAAGACCUUUUAGGGUUUUAUUUUGUAUUAGUAUAAAUAAGAUAUUUAGCCAUUAGGGGAAAAGGGGAGGAGAGAAUAGGAGGAGAAUGCACACAAUACUUUGGAGGAUUCAAGUUUAUUUUCAAGGUGUUUUCUAUCCAUGUUCUUAAUAAUAUUUUGUUUUAUAGUUGAUAGUAACUAGUUUCGUUUGCUAGAUCGAGGCCAUGACCCUUAGCAAGAAUACGUAGUUUCUUUUCAAUCUGCUUAUGAUAUUAUGCAUGCAAGUUUUGAAUUAUUAAUCAUCGUGCUUUAAACUAUCUAAUUGUGUUGAUGAUUGGCCGCCAUUAGGAUAUUUAGAAAAGUAAUUUGAUGCAAUUUUGGCGGAGGGCUGUCCCUAGAAUUGGUGCUGGCUUCUUGUGGUUAAUAUGUGUAACUUCUUAGGAUGGAUGACAUGUCUUAAGGGUUAUAUGGUUUUUCAAAAGGAUUUCACAAAACUUUAUGAGUCUUGCAUGUUAACUUUUGAUCUGGACACCACAGACAGGUUGCAUGUUAGAUAUAGGUUCUAUGUUGGAGGUUCCAAGUAAGGCAUACAUUAGGAAAACCUAACCAUCAAAAUAUGCAUUUGUAAUUCAUAAGUAAUUGGAAGAACUACGUAGGAUUGUUAAGGUGAUGGUGAAACCCUAGUGCUUAAAUUUAUUUUCAAAACUAUUUUCUUUGGUUUUCUUUACUUUCCCAAUUUAUAGUGGAUCCAAACCAUUAUUGUAACAAUACUUAGCUACAGUAGCGUUAAGCAUAUUAUCGGUGUCAUGCCCCGAUCCCGACAUACGUCUAGGAUCGACACGUGAUGUCACCAAAUACCCACAUCUCUAACUUACCCUGCCUCUAUGGCAAAGUGAUGAGUCAAUAUUUUACCAUAUAUUUUACCCUAAUCUUAGUAUUAAUUUGUUGGUUAUUUUGGAAGAAUUUUUAUACUUUGUUAUAUAUUUCUAAUGUAGGAUAUUCUACAUCCUCGGGAGAAAAAAGUAACCAAACAGAUGAAUUUUGGAGUGAUUCCAAUUAGAGAAUGUUCGUGAGUCUUUCAAGCUGAUUGUAUCAUAAUUCCAGAUUUUACUAUCAAGCUGUUUGACCGUGGCGAUGAAAUUAAGGCCCAGCACGCAACUUUCCCAUAUUGACGUUUCUGGACGUUUUGGGUAUUUUGAAGGUCAAGAUGUUAUGUUUGGAAGAAGAUUCCUUCUGAUGAUUUGUAUGGGACGUCUCCAGCUUUCAAAAGAGACCUUUUGGGAUGAAAUUGAAGUUGAUUUGUUUGGUCAAAAGUCUGAUUGUCUGAUAACUCCGAAUUCUAGUUCAAAUAGGAAACCUUUUAUUUUCUGUUUUAUUAUUUUAUUAUGUUUCCUAGUUUUAUUCUAAGACCUUUUAGGGUUUUAUUUUGUAUUAGUAUAAAUAAGAUGUUUAGCCAUUAGGGUAAAAGAGGAGGAGAGAAUAAGAGGAGAACACACAUAGUACUUUGGAGGAUUCAAGUUUAUUUUCAAGGUGUUUUCUAUCCAUGUUCUUAAUAAUAUUUUGUAUUAUGGUUGUUAGUAACUAGUUUCGUUUGCUAGGGCGAGGCCACGAGCCUUAGUGAGAAUAUGUAGUUUCUUUUCAAUUUGCUUAUGAUAUAUAUUAUGCAUGCAAGUUUUGAAUUAUUAAUCACUGUGCUUUAAACUAUAUAAUUGUCUUGAUGAUUGGCCACCAUUAGGAUAUUUAAAAAAGUAAUUUGAUGCAAUUUUGGUGGUGGGCUGUCCCUGGAAUUGGUGCUGGCUUCUUGUGGUUAAUAUGUGUAACUUCUUAGGAUGGACGACACGUCUUAAGGGUUAUAUGGUUGUUCAAAAGGAUUUCAUAAAACUUAAUGAGUCUUGCAUGUUCACAUUCGAUCUGGACACCACAGACAGGUUGCAUGUUAGAUAUACGUUCAAUGUUGGAGGUUCCAAGUAGGGCAUACUUUAGGAAAACCAAACCUUCAAAAUAUGCAUGUGUAAUUCAUAAGUAAUUGGAAGAACUACGUAGGAUUGUUAAGGUAACGGUGAAACCCUAGUGCUUAAAUUUAUUUUCAAAAACUAUUUUCUUUGGUUUUCUUUACUCUCCCAAUUUAUUUAAUUGUUUUCAGUUAAAUUCGUUUUUAAUAUUUUAGGUUAUAAAACCAACCUCUUCUAGACUUUAUUUUCAAAUAAUUAAUUAAGAUUUGGUUUUAACAUAAAUUAUGGCUUUUUUUAUUAGCACCCCACAAAAUGUUGAAUGCACCCCACAUUAAAAUUUAAUAUUAAAUGACUUAUUUACCCCACUAUGCAAUGACAAUUUUGACCUUAUUAGGUUUUAAAAAAAUAAAAUAAAAAUAUCUAAAUACACCCCAAAUCAAUGUUUUAGAACCUUCACAUGAGGUAAGACUAUGUUUCAUCGGUGGUUUGGUUAAUUUCAUAUUGCUUUUUUUUUUUUCUUCCGUUGGUUAUUCAUUUUCUUCUUUGCAGGUUACAAAUCCAGCCAGUGGUCCUCCUAGAGAAGGUUUGGUUAUAUCCCUUGAAAUGAACAAUGGAAAGCGACAAAAUAUUUUGGAGGUUAGACCAGAAAAUGCAUCGCAGGUUUGUUGGCAUGUACCACUCUGCCUAUUGAUAUUGAGUUGUAUGGUUCUUAACAAAUAAUUGAGGUGUAUGAUUCUUAGUAAAUAAAUGAGGAUUUGAUAAUAUUUUUUGGUGUAUUUAAAUAGGAUAGCAUACAAGGCAAUACCUCUAUAGGGGACAGUGAGGUUGCAACAACGAGCGUCGUUGAUUACACAAACGCAUUUAAAACAGACGAGGUAACUAUUUUUAGUAUAUUGAAUGUGCAUCUGUGAAUUUCAUGGAAACUCUUGCAUUCUUUUAUGCAACAUAGUGCAUUAGGUUCAUAAUAGGGACUAACAUAUGGGUUGGAAUCUUAGCAUGUCUACAAACAUUUUGUUAGUGGCAAAUGUCAAUGAUCUUGUAUGUACAGGUGUUCAAAAGUAAAAAUGAUUUCCUUGAUUGGACUCGCGCACAAGGAAAAAAGAAUAAUAUGGUUAUUGUCAUUAAGAGGUCUGAUGCGGGAAGGGUUGACCGAAUGAGGAAGAGAGCUCGAAUAACAUUUGCUUGUGAGAGACAUGGCGAGUAUCGAUCCAUAUUGAGGAAGUCUGAUAUUAAUGACCAAAAUUCUGAUGCAAAUAAUAAGAAGAAGAAAGAACCCAGGAAUACUGGUAUUAAAAAAUACGGAUGUCCAUUUAUGUUGAAAGGAGUCAACGUUGGAGAAGGAGAUGAAUGGAAAUUGGAGGUUGAGUGUGGGGUGCAUAACCAUACUUAUUCACAGUAUCUUGAAGGGCAUUCUUUUGUCGGACGAUUAACUAAAGAGCAAAAUGAACUUUUAGUUGACAUGUCUACAAGUUUAGUGAGACCCAAAGUUAUUUUGAACACCAUAAAGACAAAAGAUCCACUUAAUGUAACAACGAUGAGGACAAUAUACAAUGCAAGACACUAUCAUCGGACAAAAGAAAACGCAGGGAAAUCAGAAAUGCAACAGUUGUUAUGUAAGUUGGCUGAGUACAACUAUAUUGAGCAUCAUCAAAGUAUUGGUAUUGAUAAUGUUGUUAGUGACUUGUUUUGGACUCAACCAAUUAAUGUCGAUAUCUUACAUUGUUUCGCACAUGUACUUAUCAUGGAUUGCACGUACAAGACUAAUAGGCAUCGUUUCCACUCCUGGAGAUUGUAAGGGUAACUUCAACUAAUAUUACAUUGUCGGUUGCAUUUGCUUUCAUUGACCAUGAGAAGGAAGACAAUUACACAUGCGCAUUGACAAGAUUGAAGACUCUAAUGAAUGAUGAUUGUAUUCCUGGUGUGAUUGUCACUAGGGGUGGGUUCGGUUUAAAUCGGUUCGGUUUUUUGCCAAAACCGAAACCAAACCAAAAUUUCGGUUCGGUUCAAUUUUUUUUCUGUUUUUUUCGGUUCGGUUUUUUCCGGUUCGGUUUCGGUUCGGUUUUGGUUUUUUGUUUUUAUUUUUUUUCAAAGAAUGAAAAACAUUGAAAUUUUAAAUUUUAACAUAUCCAACACAAUCAUAACAUAAACAUUCUAACUAGAAUCAAAGACAAUGAAAAUAAACAUUUAAAGUUGAACUAAAAUCAUCAAUCAAGUCUUUCAAAGUCCAAACUAACAACCUCACAACACAAAAAUCACACAAAAAUCGUACAAAUGACUUAGAAAAGUUAAAUUGUAUGAUGUUGUUCAAAGAUCAGUGUUGUUUGCUUGUAACUGCAUGUUGACAACUUGAUUAGUAAAGGUAAUACGUGGGUGGAUUUAUUUAGUGUGUGUUGGAUUCUUUUCCAUCACAAAUUACCCAAGUAAUCUACCCGAAAUAAAUGUUUAUGGAUUAUGUUACAUGUUAUAUGAGAGUAGAUUUGGAAAAGAAAGCUGGCGUAGAAGUAGACAGUGCUAUGGAGAUGGAUGUAGGUACUUCGGGAAGAGGUUUGGUUCCGGAACCUUAUAUGGGGGAGAAAUAAUAGGUUAGGGUUUAGAGUUUUUAUAGGCCUUUUUUUUAAUAUUUUGAGCUUAAAGUUUGGCAACACAUUGGGUUAGCACAUUUUAACUUACAAAUUGGGUUUAGAAAAUAAUACCCAAAACAAAUAAUUAAAUAAAAAAUUUAAUUUAAUUAAUUCGGUUCGGUUCGGUUCGGUUUGGUUCGGUUUCUAGAUCACUAAAACUGAACCGAACCAAAAGAAUUCGGUUCGGUUCGGUUUUUUCAAUUCGGUUCGGUUUUUUUGUUCGGUUCGGUUUUUUCGGUUUCGGUUCGGUUUGGUUUUCGGUUUUUUUCGGUUUUCGGUUUUUUGAACCCACCCCUAAUUGUCACUGAUCGAGACUUAGCAAACUAAACUGAAAUAUAUUGAUUGCAAGGCAAGAGUACAAUUGUAAAAACAAGGUUUACUUUUUAAUGGAGGUUGUGUAGGAAAAAUUACAUUCAAAUUCAUUGCGGACCUCUUUUUUUUCUAAGACCAAAUCAAAGAAAAAAAUAAUUGAAUCAAUGAAUUACUAUAGCAGCUCCAUUUCUGACAAUGGCAAGAGGUCUCUGUGCUAAUCAAACUACCCCGAAAUUUUAUCCUAAAACUAUACUCGAGCUCCACCUUAUCUGCAAUCUCAAAUGCCUUCUCAAUAUCAUUUCAUGAUAAACCUGCUAUCCCUAUUUAUAAGAAAUUAAGCACAAGCUAGCUCAAGUUAUGGUCUUUAAUUAAUAUUAAUUUCGACAAAUCAGCUUCCCAUCUCUUUCAUUCAUAUGAACAUGGCGCAAUAUUUGUUUAAAUUAGCUGUUCGGGUUGAUUUCUUUGUAUAACUCUUCUGCCAAUUCUGCAACUUGUAGACGUAAUUCCCAUUUCAAAAUUUUAAAAAAUAAAAUAAAAUCCAAAACUAAUGUAAGAUAAAUAAAGACUUUUUUAUAUCAUAAAAUAAGACUUUCAAACUUGUAUACAAGACUAUAGUGACAAAAUCAAACACAUUGAUGGGUGCGCAUGUUCCUUCAACAUCUGUUAUGUGCGUUUAAACUGAGCGUCGAGUCUUUUUUAAGCACCUUUAAAAGUUUAACAAACUAACUAACUCCAAUAGCUGAUAUGGCACUUAUGAUGAUGUGUCAAUCACUAUAUAUCUUCAACAUCCCCCCGCAAUCUCAACUGGGAUUUUCCAGCUUGAGAUUGUAAAAAUGUUUGACAAAUGAAAGACUGUGAAGACCUUUGGUAAGAACAUCGGGAGUUUGCUCCUCAGUUGGGAUAUACAACACCUCCAAAUCGCCUUGCUGCACUCGUUCUCAGUUUAUAUCAAGGUGUUUAAUUCUGAAAUGAAACACCAGAUUGGCACUUAAGGCAAUAGCAGACAUAUUCUUACAGUGAAUCGUUGGUGGAGCAUCCAAAAAUACACCCAAAUCCUUCAAUAUAUUUCGAAUUCAAGCUAUAUGUGCCGCAGUAUGUGCUAAGGCUUUAUAUUCAGCCUCAGUAGAACUCCUGGAUACCGAGUUUUCUUUCUUCGAUUGCCAAGAAAUUGGAUUAUUGCCUACGUACACGACAUAACUAGUGAUAGACCGACGAGUAUUCAAGUAUGCAGCCCAAUCAGAAUCAGAAAACGCAGUAAGCUUUGAAACUGUGUUUGCAGAAAAAGUAAUACCAAUGUUCAUGGUUCCUUGAAGAUAACGAAUGAUUCGUUUAACAAUGCCAAAAUGAACAUCAGUUGGUGAGGACAUAAACUGACAUACUGUGUUUACAGCAAAGGCAAUAUCAGGCCUAGUAAAGGUUAGAUAUUGUAAAGAUCCCACAAUGCUUCUGUAGGAGGUUGGAUCUGUCAAUAAUUGUCCCUUAGAGUGUAACAUUUGAUGAUGAGGUUUACAAGGAGUGGUUGCUGGUUUACAUGAUUCCAUACCUGCUUUAUGGACGAGAUCUUUGAUACACUUAGACUGAUUAACAAAAACACUGCCAUCUGCUUUAUAUUGAACUUAUAAACGCAAAAAAUAUGUAAGUUGUCCCAUAUCCUUUAACUCGAAUACCUCAGAUAAUUAUUGAAUCACUUUUUGGAUCUUCAAGGAUUAUAACCAGUUAAGAUGAUAUCAUCAACAUAAAGUAAUAAGAUGAUGAUAUCAGAGCCAUCCUUCUUGACAAACAAACUUGUAUCAGAAGCUGAUGCAUGAAACUCCAUAACUGUCAAAUGACCAUAUACAUAAUAACUGUCAAAUAACUAUAUACAUAAUAACUCCAUAGAGUGAAGAUAGGAUAUUUAAACUCUUCUGUACUUAGAGAUAUGGUUGAUGUGGGAUAUUUCAAUACCUAUAUAUAUAUAUAUAUAUAUAUAUAUAUAGUAAAAACUACAUACAUAAUAAUACUACCAUAAUAGUUGUCACAAUCAAUUCAUCUCGCACGUCAUAUCAAAGAAAGUAAGUCAUUCAUAAAAUCAAAGUAAUAGAAUAUGAUUUUAUCAAUAUCGUAGAUGAUUCUUAUAAUCAUGUAUAUGCACGUUGGUGCGACUUAGAUUCCAAUGAUCUCUCUACUAAAUAUAUUUAUUUCAUAAACGCUAUAAUUUGUAUACAUAAUAAAUGAUUUGAUCAUAUUAAUUCUGCAUAGUCCCCUCAAGUUGGAUAGUAAAUGUCAUAAUUAAGGCUUUUUAGUCAAAAUGGAGUCCUUGAGAUUUGCCUAACUCAUUACCUUGGUCCCUGAGAUUCAAAAUCAAUAGAAGUGAUCCAUGAGAUAGUCCACCAUCAAUCAUUUUGGUCCUUCAGUGAAAAAUUGUGUUAAAUAAGAAUUAAAAUGACAAAAUUACCCUCAAUGUAAUAAACAAUAGGCCAACAUGAUUUGACAAAAAUUGAGGGUAUUUUUAAUAUUUUAUCCUUAUUUUAUGGAGAUUUUUCACUGAAUGAUGAAAAUGAUUGAUUGUGAACAAACCCAAGUACCAAUUCUAUCAAUUUCAAAUCUCAAGGACCAAAGCAAGGAGUUAUGCAAAUCUCAAUAACCAUUUUAACUAAAAAAUUAUUAUUCCUAAUUUCCUAAAGCCCUUGGGAAGGUAUCUGCCAAUUGUACCCGAGAAGAAGUGCAGCAAGGAAAAUUUUAUAAAGACAAUGGAUACAUGCCACUUCGCUGCAAAAAACGAUACUUAAAGGACAAUUUUCCCGAGUUUUUCACCGCCGUUUUUACCGUUUGCUGCAAAAAACAAAUACUCUCCCCUUGCGAGCUCCGUCGUCAAUUCCCUUCACGAACUUUGAGUCCCUCUGAAAAAAUGAUUACAUGAAAUUUGAAUUUUUCAAACUUUGUGUCUGGUUAUAUCUAACGAUCCCUAAUUCUAAAUUUAUGGUUUAGAUAUAUAAAAAAGAUAUCUCGGGUACUUCAUUGCUAUCCAUUAAGCUCCCCACUUUCAAGCAAAGCAAAAAAUUCUAAUUGAGUUGAGUUUUGAACAUGCUGAUUAGUUAGACAACUGAAUUACUAAUCUUUAUUAUUAUUGCAACAAACACACGGAUUACACUAAAAGCUAGUGAAUCAUACACUUGCAGAUGACUUAUCCAAACACAAAGAUAAGACAUGAUUUUAUUAUUAUUGCUAUAAACACACGAAUUACAACGAAAUUCAAAAACUAAAAACAAGGAAAAAAGUAGUGAUGAAAACCAAUGCCACUUCCGGGAACACGAUUGCAUUCGCACAUGCAACAAGCCUUUUAAACCCAUAGGUGACCCAAAUGGGACGAGUGAAGUCUCGUGAGGGUUUCCAGAGACGUUACCCACAAACAUCAUGCAUACGGAUCAUCAACAUCUGACUUGGGAGACUGAGUAGAUAUCCACCCCUCCAGCAUCAGGUUGUUUUUGGUUAAGGCGUAAUUCGAAUCUGUUUUCAAUGAACGGCCUGGUUAUGAGAUCGCUUUGCAAGUGACGUAAUCGGCAGCGCGUGAUUAGGUUGUUGCUGUCAGGUGGUCCGACAGGCUCGACCUUGAACAAUGUGCAAGCCCAAUUGUCUUUGGUUUCAUUUCGGUCAGCAGCUGCGGCCAGGACCAAUAGCUUGUUUUGGUCCACCCUUCUCAAGUAGUUGCCAUUGUAGGAGCAUUUGAUAUGCACGUAAUUCUUGUCGGCGUAGUCCUCAUUGUUUGGCUUCUCGGUGGUGAACUUUAUGAACCUGCUGUUUUCAUUGUCCUCGGAAAACUGGACAAUCUCAUUAAGGUCGCUUUCUGCAUCAAGUUGAUAGCGCAAAUACUUGUUGUUGAUAUCUGCUUUCAGCAGAAAAGGGCUUGGUAGUACAGGUGGAGCCAUAUCGUAUAGUGUAGUUGGGAUUGGGAUGCUCUCUCUUUUUAAUUCUCUGUUGAUGAUCUAAUUUGCUUGCUGUGAAUGUGAUGCUUAGUUUAAACCUGCUAUCCUAUUUAUAAGAAAUUAAGCACAAGCUAGCUCAAGUUAUGGUCUUUAAUUAAUAUUAAUUUCGACAAAUCAGUUUCCCAUCUCUUUCAUUGAUAUGAACAUGGCUGAUCUCAUUGGUGUGGCGCAAUAUUUGUUAAAUUAGCCGUUCGGGUUGAUUUCUUUGUACAACUCAUCUGCCAAUUCUACAACUUGUAGACCUAAUUCCCAGUACAAAAUUAAAAAAAAAUUAAAAUCCAAAACUAAUAUAAGAUAAAUAAAGACUUUUUAUAUCAUAAAAUAAGACUUUCUAACUUGUAUACAAGACUAUAGUGACAAGAUCAAACACAUUGAUGGGUGCGCAUUUUCCAUCAACAUCUGUUCUGUGUGUUUAAACUGACCGUGGAGUCUUUUUAGCAAUUAAAAGUUUUGUAUCAUGUAAUUGUCUUGGUUUGAUAAGACCUACAUCUAGAUGAGUUGCUUCUGAAGACUAAUGUAAAACUUUAUGUUGAUAUUUCUUGAGGGUGAAACAUCGUUUGAGAAACGUGUAGGGCCUCAUUACAAUGUUUUCAUUUAGUUUUUAACUUUUGGUUUAAAUAUUCUACUAUGAAUAAAUUUGUGGCUUUAAUAACUAGUAAAACCACUUUCAAAUAUCUUAGUAUCGGCUUUCAGAACAAAGGGGUUUGCUAGUACAGGUGGAGCCAUGUUGUAUAGUGUAGCUGGGAUUGGGAUGAUCUCUCUCUCUUUUUUGUUUUUUGUUUUUCCUUUAAUUUGCUUGCUUUGAAUGUGAUGCUCAGUUCAAACCUACUAUCCUAUUUCUAAGAAAUUAAGCACAAGCUAUCUCAAGUUAUGGACUUUAAUUAAUAUUAAUUUCCUCAAUCAGUUUCCCAUAUCUUUCAUUGAUACGAACAUGGCUGAUCUCAUUGGUGUGACGCAAGAUUUGUUAAAAUAGCGAUCGGAUUGAUUUUUCUUUGUAUAACUCUUCUGCCAAUUCUGAACUUGUACAUAUAAUUCCCAUUAUAAAAUAAAUAAAUAAAAUUCAAAACUCAUAUAAAAUAAAUAGAGACUUUUUAUAGCAUAUAAAAUAAGACUUUGUAACUUGUACAUAGUUACUGAUAACAUUCAUCUAAGAACUAACAGAUGAAUGUAUGCAAGCAAUAUUGAAGAAAUACAGAGAGAAAGAUCGAAAGGAAUAGAGAGAGAAAUAGAGAAAGAAAUGAGUGAAAGCUUUGUUAUUUCAUAAGAACAAAAGAUCAUCACAAAAGAACCCUGAUUCCUUCUUAUAUAGUCUGCACAUGUAGCUUAUCAGCUAAGCCACCUGUGUAACUAAUUCUUAACAAACUAACUAACUCCAAUAGCUGAUAUGGCACUUAUGAUGAUGUGUCAAUCACUAUAUAUCUUCAACAUCCCCCCGCAAUCUCAACUGGGAUUUUCUAGCUUGAGAUUGUAAAAAUGUUAGACAAAUGAAGGACUGUGAAGACCUUUGGUAAGAACAUCGGCAGUUUGCUCCUCAGUUGGGAUAUACAACACCUCCAAAUCGCCUUCAUGCACUCGUUCUCGUACAAAAUGGUAGUAUGUAUUAAGGUGUUUAAUUCUUGAAUGAAACACCAGAUUAGCACUUAAGGCAAUAGCGGACAUAUUGUCACAGUGAAUCGUUGGUGGAGCAUCCAAAAAUACACUCAAAUCCUUCAAUAUAUUUCGAAUCCAAGCUAUAUCUGCGGCAGUAUGUGCUAAGGCUUUAUAUUCAGCCUCAGUAGAACUCCUGGAUACCGAGUUUUGUUUCUUCGAUUGCCAAGAAAUUGGAUUACUACCCAAGUACACGACAUAACCAGUGAUAGACUGACGAGUAUUCAAGUCUGUAGCCCAAUAAGAAUCAGAAAACGCAGUAAGCUUUGAAACUGUGUUUGCAGAAAAAGCAAUACCAAUGUUCAUGGUUUCUUGAAGAUAACGAAUGAUUCAUUUAACAACGCCAAAAUGAACAUCAGUUGGUGAGGACAUAAACUGACAUACUGUGUUUACAGCAAAGGCAAUAUCAGGCCUAGUAAAGGUCAGAUAUUGUAAAGAUCCCACAAUACUUAUGUAAAAGGUUGGAUCUGUCAAUAAUUGUCCCUCAGAGUGUAACAUUUGAUAAUGAGGUUUACAAGGUGUGGUUGCUGGUUUACAUGAUUCCAUACCUGCUUUAUGGACGAGAUCUUUGAUAUACUUAGACUGAUUAACAAAAACACUGCCAUUUGCUUUAUAUUGAACUUGUAAACCCAAAAAAUAUGUAAGUUGUCCCAUAUCCUUUAACUCGAAUACCUCAGAUAAUUAUUGAAUCACUUUUUGGAUCUUCAAAGGAUUAGAACCAGUUAAGAUGAUAUCAUGAACAUAAAGUAAUAAGAUAAUGAUAUCAGAGUCAUCCUUCUUGACAAACAAACUUGUAUCAGAAGUUGAUGCAUGAAACUCCAUAACUGUCAAAUAACUUGUAAACUUCGAAUUCCACACUCGUGGAGCCUGUUUCAAGCCAUAUAAUGACUUGACCAAUUUGCAAACAUGAGAAAGAUAUGAUGUAUCAAUAAACCCUUAUGGUUCCUGCAUAUAAACUUCUUUUUGUAAAUCCCCGUGUAGAAAAGCGUUCUUGAUAUCUAAUUGGCGAAGAGGCCAAUGAUUCAUUGCAGCUAAAGAAAGAAUAAUCCUUACAGUAGUAUGUCCGACAACAGGACUAAAUGUGUCCAAGUAGUCAAUACCAUGUUCUUGGGAGAACCCUUGAGCUACAAGCCUUGCUUUAUACCUGGAGACACUGCCAUCAGAGUUUUUCUUCACUUUUUGUUCUGUCUUCAGGUGCAGGAACCAAUAGCCAAGUUCCUUGUGCUCGAAGUGAAUCAUAUUUCUCCUGCAUUGCCUUUUGCCACUGUGAAAUAGUAGGAGCUUUCCGAAAUGUCUUAGGUUCUGAAGCAUCAGUGAUCUCAGAAAGAAAGGAAUAGCCACCCGUGAAAGGUUCUUCAUCAGUGAUUUGGAGACAACAAAGCUCAGGACAUUGUGCUACUAAAGCAGCAUAAUUUUGUCCCUCAAUUGUUCCACUCUUCAAUCUAGGGACCAUUGAGUGAGUCAAUGGUGUAGUAUGUAAAAUGAGAUCAAAUAGAGAUAAAUCAGGAAGGAUUACCUUAAGUUGUGACUUAGAGUGGACAAGCAACAAGGAUUGUGUACCAGAGUGAUGAUGUGUAGGAGAGUGAUGAUGUGAAGAGUUUGGAGAUGCAUAUAGAAGAUUGGUUUCAGUCGAAUUUGUAUCUUGAUCACUAGGUUGAAUCACUUGUGUAUUGUCCGAACUAGAAACAUUCAAUUAACCAACCACAUAUAUACUUUCACAAUUUGCAGGAAUACUGUGAUGUGAACCAGUAUCAUUUGCUGAUAUAUGUAUAGAACUAGCUGCUUGUGAAUCAUGCUGUAUUUAUGUAUGAGGCAGGACUCUUGCACUUGGAACUUGUAACUGAAUCAAAACAGGUGUCUGAGAACACCUAUAUGUAGCUGUAGAAUCCUUAGAUGGCAAAACUUGUUUAAACGGAUAUACAUCUUCAUCAUGUAGUACAUGCCUUGACAGAAUGAACUUUCUAGUCUUGAUAUCAUAACAAAUAACUCCUUUAUAUCCAUGAGCAAAACCAAGAAAUACACAUUGAGCUGACCGUAGCUCCAAUUUAUUCUUAUUGAAUGAUCUUAUCAAGAUAGAGCAGCCAUAAGAAACUCUUAACUUUGGAGGAAUAUGAAGUUUCCAAAUGAGAUUCCAUCGCCGGAAAAGCACAAGGCCUAAUGGCCCAAAAGUAAGCAGAUUUAACUGAAAAAUUACCAUCAUUUAUUCCACUUCAGAUACACUUGGCAGUCAAAGCAUCAAAACUAAUUGGAAUGCUAAGAAUUUGUUCAACCACCUCUUUAGUAAAACAAGUAAUAGUGGAUCCAAACCAUUAUUGUAACAAUAGUUAGCUACAGUAGCCUUAUAUGUAUUGUCGGCGUUACCACACAAUCCCGAUAUACGUCCAGGAUCGACAUGUGAUCUCAUCAAAUACUCAUAUCUCUAACUUACCCCACCUCCGGAAUAUGGCAAAGUGAUGAGUCAAUAUUUACCAUAUAUUUUACCCUAAUCUUAGUAUUAAUUUAUUAAUUAUUUUGGUAGAAUUUUGAUACUUUGUUAUAUAUUUCUAACAUAGGACAUUCGACUUCAUCUGGAGAAAAAAGUAACCAAACGGAUGAUUUUUGGAGUGAUUCCAAUUGGAGGAUGUUUGUGAGUCUUUCGAGAUGAUUAUAUCAAAAUUCCAAAUUUUUCUACCUAGCCGUUUGACCGUGGCAAUGAAAUUAAGGCCCUGCGCGCAGCUUUCUCAGAUUGACAUUUCAGGACAUUUCGGGACAUUUUUUCAAUUCGGUUCGGUUUUUUUGUUCGGUUCGGUUUUUUCGGUUUCGGUUCGGUUUGGUUUUCGGUUUUUUUCGGUUUUCGGUUUUUUGAACCCACCCCUAAUUGUCACUGAUCGAGACUUAGCAAACUAAACUGAAAUAUAUUGAUUGCAAGGCAAGAGUACAAUUGUAAAAACAAGGUUUACUUUUUAAUGGAGGUUGUGUAGGAAAAAUUACAUUCAAAUUCAUUGCGGACCUCUUUUUUUUCUAAGACCAAAUCAAAGAAAAAAAUAAUUGAAUCAAUGAAUUACUAUAGCAGCUCCAUUUCUGACAAUGGCAAGAGGUCUCUGUGCUAAUCAAACUACCCGAAAUUUAUCCUAAAACUAUACUCGAGCUCCACCUUAUCUGCAAUCUCAAAUGCCUUCUCAAUAUCAUUUCAUGAUAAACCUGCUAUCCUAUUUAUAAGAAAUUAAGCACAAGCUAGCUCAAGUUAUGGUCUUUAAUUAAUAUUAAUUUCGACAAAUCAGCUUCCCAUCUCUUUCAUUCAUAUGAACAUGGCGCAAUAUUUGUUAAAUUAGCUGUUCGGGUUGAUUUCUUUGUAUAACUCUUCUGCCAAUUCUGCAACUUGUAGACGUAAUUCCCAUUUCAAAAUUUUAAAAAAUAAAAUAAAAUCCAAAACUAAUGUAAGAUAAAUAAAGACUUUUUAUAUCAUAAAAUAAGACUUUCAAACUUGUAUACAAGACUAUAGUGACAAAAUCAAACACAUUGAUGGGUGCGCAUGUUCCUUCAACAUCUGUUAUGUGCGUUUAAACUGAGCGUCGAGUCUUUUUUAGCAAUUAAAAGUUUUGUAUCAUGUAAUUGUCUUGGUUUGAUAAGACCUACAUCUGGAUAAGUUGCUUCUGAAGACUAAUGUAAAACUUUAUGUUGAUAAUUCUUGAGGGUGAAACAUCGUUUGAGAAAUGUUUUGGACCUCAUUACAAUUUUUUCAUUUAUUUUUUAACUUUUGGUUUAAAUAUUCUACUACAAAUACAUUUGUGGCUUCAAUAACUACUAAAACCACUUUCAAAUAUCUUAGUAUUGGCUUUCAGAACAAAGGGGUUUGGUAGUACAGGUUGAGCCAUGUUGUAUAGUGUAGCUGGGAUUGGGACGAUCUCUCUCUUUAUUUAUUUAUUUUUUUCCUUUAAUUUGCUUGCUUUGAAUGUGAUGCUCAGUUCAAACCUACUAUCCUAUUUCUAAGAAAUUAAGCACAAGCUAUCUCAAGUUAUGGUCUUUAAUUAAUAUUAAUUUCCUCAAUCAGUUUCCCAUUUCUUUCAUUGAUACGAACAUGGCUGAUCUCAUUGGUGUGACGCAAGAUUUGUUAAAAUAGCUGAUCGGAUUGAUUUUUUCUUUGUACCCGAGAAGAAAUGCAGGAAGGAGGAAUUUAUAAAGACAACGGAUACCUGCUCUUCGCUGCAAAAAACGACACUUAAAAGGACAAUUUUCCCGAGGUUUUCACCGCUGUUUUUACCGUUUGCUGCCAAAAACAAAUACUCUCCCCUUGCGAGCUCCGUUGUCAAUUCCCCUCGCGAACUUUGAGUCCCUCUGAAAAAAUGAUUAAGUGAAAUUUGAAUUUUUCAAACUUUGUGUUUGGUUAUAUCUAACAAUCCCUAAUUCCAAAUUUAUGGUUUAGAUAUAUAAAAAAGAUAUCUCGGGUACUUCAUUGCUAUCCAUUAAGCUCCCCACUUUCAAACAAAGCAGAAAAUUCUAAUUGAGUUGGGUUUUGAACAUGCAGAUUAGUUAGACAACUGAAUUACCAAUCCUUAUUAUUAUUGCAACAAACACACGGAUUACACUAAAAGCUAGUGAAUCAUACACUUGCAGAUGACUUAUCCAAACACAAAGAUAAGACAUGAGUUUAUUGUUAAAUUGUGGCCAAGUGGCCAUCACCUUUUGUAUUAAACAAAUAAAAAGAAAAAAAAAAGGGAGACAUCAUGAUGUUGUUUCUUACUUUGUGAUAAUGACAAAUGAUGAUGUUGGAGAAUUAUUUUUUAUUUGGCCCAUGUGGGAAGUCACGGGGUGACUUGAAGGAUUUAUUUAGCAGCAAUUGCUGCUUGUGUGGUUAAGAGAAGAAAACAGAGAGCAGAAGAAAAAGGAAAGAGAGCUGCCGAGAGCAAGAGAGUUGCAGAGAGCCCAAACAGAAAAAGAAGCUGCUGCUUCAUUUGAUUAGUAAUCAUCAACCAAAGUAGUUGUUGUUGUAAUAGUUUUGAGCUAUAUGUAUAGAGAAGAAAUUAUUCAUUAUAUUUCUUUCUCUAUUUGUUUCUUUGGUGUGUGAGAGUUAUUGGGUGUAUUGGGCUUUUGGGUUGUGAGAUUGUCAACACUUUGUAAACUCCCAUUUGGUUGAUAGUGGAUUAUUGGGUGAGCUCCUACUGCUCCGAGGACGUACUCCAGUUACACUGACUGUUGAGGAACCUCGUUAAAAUCUUGGUGUUCUUUUAUAUUUUGUUCUUGCAUUUUCAUUUGAUAAAUUUCCUGUGGGUUAGCUUGAGUUGGUUCCAACGGGUUUGGUGCUAUCCUAGCACAACAAUUGGUAUCAGAGCACUGGUUGCUCUUGGGUACUGUCUAGUUGCCAAAGAUGUCAGACGGGCAAGAUGAGAAUCCUUUUGGAAGCACCUCCGGGUUUGCAAGAACUACGGUGCAAAAUGCAAAGUUCGAAGUGGAAAAGUUUGAUGGCACAAACAACUUCGGGAUGUGGCAAUGUGAGGUCAAAGAUGUGUUGGCUCAACAAGAUCUACUUGCCGCUUUGGGAGAGAAGCCGGAAGCUAUGUCGAAGCCGGAAUGGGAGAAAUUAAAUUUGUGGGCUUGCUCUUCAAUUCGGUUGUGCCUUGCAAAAACUCAGAAGUAUUUUUUGUGAUGCGGGAGACAUUGGCAAGUGUGUGUGGCAAAAAUUGGAAGACAAGUAUAUGACGAAGAGUGCAGAGAACCGGCUACACUUGAAGAAAAAACUCUACCGCUUCCAAUACAAAGAAGGUACAAAAAUGAUUAGACACCUUGAUGCUUUUAAUAAGUUGAUUGCCGACUUGUUAAAUUUAGAUGAGGAUAUUAAGGAUGAAGAUAAGGCCUUAAUAUUGUUGAAUUCCUUGCCGGACUCUUAUGAGCAUUUUGUUACCACUAUUAUGCAUGGUAAAAAAACUGUGAAAUUUGAAGAUGUGUCAAAUGCCUUGAUGAAUUAUGAAAUGAGGCAUAGAGAUAAAAAUCAUGAUAGUACCUCUGAAGCUUUAUUUGUUAGAGGUAGAUCAUCGGAGAGGAGGUCAUCUUCUAGCAGGAAAAAAUCACAAUCUCGACCUAGAGGAAACUCUAAAGGUAGAAAACCUUUGGAAAGGGAUGAAUGUGCCUUUUGUCGUAAUAAGGGCCAUUGGAAGAAAGAUUGUCCUAAAUUGAAGAACAAAGGCAAAGAAAGUUCUGAAGCUAAUGUUGCUGAGGUUGAAACAGAUUUUUCUGAUUUUGCUUUAACCACUUCCUCAUCAUUUGAUUGUGCUACUAAGUGGGUGUUGGAUACGGGUUGUACUCAUCAUAUGACUCCUCACAAGGAUUGGUUUUCAAGCUUGAAAGAGUUUGAUGGUGGCGUUGUGUUCAUGGGAGAUGACAAUCCUUGCACAACAAAAGGGAUUGGUACAGUUCGUUUGAAGUUGCAUGAUGGCAUGGUUAAAGAGUUGACAGGUGUUCGGUAUGUACCGAAUUUGAAGAAAAAUCUUAUUUCUUUGGGUACUUUGGAAUCCAAGGGUUUCAGGUUUCAUUCAGAUGGACAGACAUUGAAAGUUACUUAUGGUGCACAUGUUGUGAUGAAAGCUCCUAGAUGUGGCCAUUUGUAUUUAUUGCAGGGAAGCACUGUGACAGGUGAAGCAUCUGUAGUCUCUGAAAAUAUGGGCACAUCUGAUUCAGAUACUACUAGAUUGUGGCAUAUGAGAUUAGGCCGUACCGGUGAGAAAGCUCUACAAGGGCUUGUGAAACAAGGUCUUCUAAAAGGUGCCAUGACUUGUAAGCUUGAUUUCUGUGAGCAUUGUGUCUUGGGGAAGCAAACUAGAGUGAAGUUUGGUACUGCUGUACAUCAGACGAAGGGCAUUCUUGAUUAUGUGCAUUCGGAUGUUUGGGGUCCUACAAAGACUCCCUCUUUGAGUGGUAGACAUUGGUUCGUGACCUUUGUUGAUGAUUAUUCAAGAAGGUCUUGGGUCUACACUAUGAAGCACAAGAGUGAGCUGUUAAGCAUUUUCUUGGGUUGGAAGAAAAUGGUUGAGAACCAGACUGGGAGAAAGAUUAAGAUUUUGAGAUCGGAUAAUGGUGGUGAAUACACAUCCGAUCCUUUCUUUAAAGUUUGCAAAGAGGAAGGAAUUGUGAGACAUUUCAGUGUUCGGGGAACUCCACAACAAAAUGGAGUUGCAGAAAGAUUGAAUCGAACCUUGCUUGAGAAGGUUAGAUGUAUGUUGUCUCAGUCGGGUUUAAGCAAGUCAUUUUGGGCAGAGGCAGUUAAUUAUGCAUGUCACAUCUCAACCGGUUACCCUCAGCUGCUGUUCAGGGUAAGACACCAAUGGAGGUAUGGACUGGAAAACCUUCUUCUGAUUAUGACUAUAUCCGUAUUUUUGGUUCACCUGCUUAUUUUCAUGUAACUGAAAAUAAACUUGAUCCAAGAGCCAAAAAGGCUAUCUUUCUUGGUUUUAGUAGUGGUGUCAAAGGUUACAGGUUGUGGUGUCCAGAGAUGAAAAAACUUGUAAUCAGCAGAGAUGUGACAUUUGAUGAAGAAAGUAUGUACAAAGUCUCUGAGAAGAAUGUGAAAGAUGUCCAACAGGUGGAGCUUGAGAAAGUUGCCUCUGAUACUUCAAAUCCUAUUUCCGCUGAUGUCGAAGCCACUACAAGUGAAGAAGUUGGAGACCAUGAGAAUGUUGAAGAAGUUGAACUUGAAGAUUCUAUUCAAGUUGAAGAGCAAGUUUCACCUCAAGAGUCUAUUGCUAAGAACAGAGGAAAAAGACAAAUUACCAAGCCAGCUCGGUACAGUGACUAUGUUGCUUUUGCUCUUCCUAUUAUCACUGAUGAGAUUCCAUCCAAUUUUGAGGAAGCUAUUGAGAGUGAGGAGAAGAAAAGGUGGUGCAAUGCCAUGGGUGAUGAAAUGAAUUCUCUCUUGAAGAACAAGACUUGGGAGUUAGCUAAAUUGCCUAAGGGCAAGAAAGCUAUCGGUUGCAAAUGGGUGUAUGCCAAGAAGGAAGAUGCUGAUGAGAAAAGCAAUGUGAGAUUUAAAGCAAGAUUAGUUGCUAAAGGGUAUGCACAAAAGGAGGGCAUUGACUACAAUGAAAUAUUUUCUCCAGUUGUGAAGCGCUCCUCAAUUCGUAUUAUGUUAGCUCUUGUUGCACAAUAUGAUCUUGAGCUUGUGCAACUUGAUGUGAAGACGGCUUUCCUACAUGGUGAUUUGAAUGAAGAGAUCUAUAUGUGUCAACCGGAUGGGUAUUGUGAAAGGGAAGGAAAAUUUGUUUUGCAAAUUGAAGAAAUCGCUUUAUGGCUUGAAGCAAUCUCCAAGGCAAUGGUAUUUGAGGUUUGAUAAAUUUAUGAGAGGCCAAAAUUAUUCUAGAAGUCAAUAUGAUCAUUGUGUGUACUUCAAGAAGUUGCAAGAUGGGUCUUUCAUUUAUUUAUUGAUAUAUGUUGAUGAUAUGUUGAUUGCCUCAAAGAAUGUUGAGGAGAUUGAGAAAUUGAAGAAACAAAUGAAGAAUGAGUUUGAGAUGAAGGAUCUUGGUGAAGCAAAUCCUUGGCAUGGAGAUCACUAGAGAUAGAGAGAAGGGUUUGGUCAGUUUGAAUCAAAGACAAUACCUUGAGAAGUUGAUUCGGAAGUUUGGAGUUCAUGAUUCAACCAAACCGGUUAGUACCCCUUUGGCUCCUCAUUUUAAAUUGAGUUCUCUACAGUGUCCUAAAACUGAUAAAGAGAAGCUGCAAAUGAAAAAUAUACCAUAUGCAAAUUUGGUUGGUAGUUUGAUGUAUGCAAUGGUAUGCUCUAGACCGGAUAUUGCUCAUGCAGUUGGCAUGGUGAGUCGAUAUAUGCAUAAUCCAGGUAAAGAGCACUGGCAAGCAGCUAAGUGGAUAUUGAGAUAUCUCCAUGGUACUCGAGAUGUUGGUUUAUGCUUUGAGAGAGAUGACUCUGGUAUUGGUCAUUUUGCAGUUGGUUAUGUUGAUUCAGAUUAUGCAGGUGAUCUGGAUGGAAGGAAGUCUACUACAGGCUAUGUGUUUACUAUGGCUAAAGGACCAGUUUGUUGGAGGUCCAUUUUGCAGUCGUCUGUUGCCUUGUCUACUACAGAGGCUGAAUAUAUGGCAGUUGCUGAAGCUAUAAAGGAGGCCAUUUGGAUACAUGGGCUGAUUAGAGAUUUGGGGGUUGAUCAGAAGCAGGUGGAGGUACAUUGUGAUAGUCAGAGUGCCAUUUAUUUGGCUAAGUAUCAGGUUCAUCAUGCGAGGACCAAGCACAUAGAUGUGCGUUAUCACUUUGUUCGUGAAAUUGUUGGUGAAGGGGAAAUCAUUCUCCAGAAGAUUCCAACUAAAGACAACCCCGCUGAUAUGUUGACUAAGGUUGUUGGUGUAGCCAAGUUUGUUCACUGUUUGAACUUGGCUCACAUUAUGCCUAUAUAAAGAAGGCGUUGAGCAGUAGGAGUUUUGGAGCAUUUGGCUCGGCAUGAGUUGUUCUCUUGCUAGUGUUCGGGAGUGAUGUUGUGUGCUAAUUGUGUUGGUUGGCUUAUCAUGGCGUUUUCGGAACUUGGCCAAGGUGGAGAUUGUUAAAUUGUGGCCAAGUGGCCAUCACCUUUUGUAUUAAACAAAUAAAAAGAAAAAAAAAAGGGGAGACAUCAUGAUGUUGUUUCUUACUUUGUGAUGAUGACAAAUGAUGAUGUUGGAGAAUUAUUUUUUCUUUGGCCCAUGUGGGAAGUCACGGGGUGACUUGAAGGAUUUAUUUAGCAGCAAUUGCUGCUUGUGUGGUUAAGAGAAGAAAACAGAGAGCAGAAGAAAAAGGAAAGAGAGCUGCCGAGAGCAAGAGAGUUGCAGAGAGCCCAAACAGAAAAAGAAGCUGCUGCUUCAUUUGAUUAGUAAUCAUCAACCAAAGUAGUUGUUGUUGUAAUAGCUUUGAGCUAUAUGUAUAGAGAAUAAAUUAUUCAUUAUAUUUCUUUCUCUAUUUGUUUCUUUGGUGUGUGAGAGUUAUUGGGUGUAUUGGGCUUUUGGGUUGUGAGAUUGUCAACACUUUGUAAACUCCCAUUUGGUUGAUAGUGGAUUAUUGGGUGAGCUCCUACUGCUCCGAGGACGUACUCCAGUUACACUGACUGUUGAGGAACCUCGUUAAAAUCUUGGUGUUCUUUUAUAUUUUGUUCUUGCAUUUUCAUUUGAUAAAAUUUCCUGUGGGUUAGCUUGAGUUGGUUCCAACGGGUUUGGUGCUAUCCUAGCACAACAUUUAUUAUUAUUGCUAUAAACACACGGAUUACAGCGAAAUUCAAAAACUAAAAAUAAGGAAAAAAGUAGUGAUGAAAACCAAUGCCACUUUCGCGGGAACACGAUUGAAUUCGCACAUGCAACAAGCCUUUUAAACCCAUAGGUGACCCAAAUGGGACGAGUGAAGUCUCGUGAGGGUUUCCAGAGACGUUACCCACAAACAUCAUGCAUACUGAUCAUCAACAUCUGCCUUGGGAGACUGAGUAGAUAUCCACCCCUCCAGCAUCAGGUUGUUUUUGGUUGAGGCGUAAUUCGAAUCUGUUUUCAAUGAACGGCCUGGUUAUGAGAUCACUUUGCAAGUGACGUAAUCGGCAGCGCGUGAUUAGGUUGUUGCUGUCAGGUGGUCCGACAGGCUCGACCUUGAACAAUGUGCAAGCCCAAUUGUCUUUGGUUUCAUUUCGGUCAGCAGCUGCGGCCAGGACCAACAGCCUGUUUUGGUCCACCCUUCUCAAGUAGUUACCAUUGUAGGAGCAUUUGAUAUGCACGUAAUUCUUGUCAGCGUAGUCCUCAUUGUUUGGCUUCUCGGUGGUGAACUUUAUGAACCUGCUGUUUUCAUUGUCCUCGGAAAACUGGACAAUCUCAUUAAGGUCGCUUUCUGCAUCAAGUUGAUAGCGCAAAUACUUGUUGUUGAUAUCUGCUUUCAGCAAAAAAGGGCUUGGUAGUACAGGUGGAGCCAUAUCGUAUAGUGUAGUUGGGAUUGGGAUGCUCUCUCUUUUUUAUUCUCUGUUGAUGAUCUAAUUUGCUUGCUGUGAAUGUGAUGCUUAGUUCAAACCUGCUAUCCUAUUUAUAAGAAAUUAAGCACAAGCUAACUCAAGUUAUGGUCUUUAAUUAAUAUUAAUUUCGACAAAUCAGUUUCCCAUCUCUUUCAUUGAUAUGAACAUGGCUGAUCUCAUUGGUGUGGCGCAAUAUUUGUUAAAUUAGCCGUUCGGGUUGAUUUCUUUGUAUAACUCAUCUGCCAAUUCUACAACUUGUAGACUUACUUCCCAUUACAAAAUAAAAAAUAAAAUAAAAUCCGAAACUAAUGUAAGAUAAAUAAAGACUUUUUAUGUCAUAAAAUAAGACUUUCUAACUUGUAUACACGACUAUAGUGACAAGAUCAAACACAUUGAUGGGUGCGCAUUUUCCAUCAACAUCUGUUCUGUGCGUUUAAACUGAGCGUGAAGUCUUUUUUAGCAAUUAAAAGUUUUGUAUGAUGUAAUUGUCUUGGUUUGAUAAGACCUACAUCUAGAUGAGUUGCUUCUGAAGACUAAUGUAAAACUUUAUGUUGAUAUUUCUUGAGGGUGAAACAUCGUUUGAGAAACGUUUUGGGCCUCAUUACAAUUUUUUCAUUUAUUUUUUAACUUUUGGUUUAAAUAUUCUACAAUAAAUACAUUUGUGGCUUUAAUAACUAGUAAAACCACUUUCAAAUAUCUUAGUAUCGGCUUCAGAACAAAGGGGUUUGGUAGUACAGGUGGAGCCAUGUUGUAUAGUGUAGCUGGGAUUGGGAUGAUCUCUCUCUUUAUUUAUUUAUUUAUUUUCUUUAAUU